GACGAACGCUGGCGGCGUGCUUAACACAUGCAAGUCGAACGGAAAGGCCCUGCUUUUGUGGGGUGCUCGAGUGGCGAACGGGUGAGUAACACGUGAGUAACCUGCCCUUGACUUUGGGAUAACUUCAGGAAACUGGGGCUAAUACCGGAUAGGAGCUCCUGCUGCAUGGUGGGGGUUGGAAAGUUUCGGCGGUUGGGGAUGGACUCGCGGCUGAUCAGCUUGUUGGUGGGGUAGUGGCUUACCAAGGCUUUGACGGGUAGCCGGCCUGAGAGGGUGACCGGCCACAUUGGGACUGAGAUACGGCCCAGACUCCUACGGGAGGCAGCAGUGGGGAAUAUUGCACAAUGGGCGGAAGCCUGAUGCAGCAACGCCGCGUGCGGGAUGACGGCCUUCGGGUUGUAAACCGCUUUCGCCUGUGACGAAGCUGGAGUGACGGUAAUGGGUAAAGAAGCACCGGCUAACUACGUG
rnacentral:rRNA from 1 species